rnacentral:rRNA from 1 species
GAUUCAUAAUAACUUCUCGAAUCGCACGGCCUUGCGCCGGCGAUGGUUCAUUCAAAUUUCUGCCCUAUCAACUUUCGGCGGCUGGGUCUUGGCCAGCCGUGGUGACAACGGGUAACGGAGGGUUAGGGCUCGACCCCGGAGAAGGAGCCUGAGAGACGGCUACUACAUCCAAGGAAGGCAGCAGGCGCGCAAAUUACCCAAUCCCGACUCGGGGAGGUAGUGACAAUAAAUACUGAUACAGGGCUCUUUUGGGUCUUGUAAUCGGAAUGAGUACAAUCUAAAUCCUUUAACGAGGAGCAAUUGGAGGGCAAGUCUGGUGCCAGCAGCCGCGGUAAUUCCAGCUCCAAUAGCGUAUAUUAAAGUUGUUGCAGUUAAAAAGCUCGUAGUUGAAUCUCGGGCCUGGCUGGCCGGUCCGCCUCACCGCGAGUACUGGCUCGGCCGGGUCUUUCCUUCUGGGGAGCCUCAUGCCCUUCACUGGGUGUGCUGGGGAACCAGGACUUUUAC